UGCGCUUUGGAGGAUAGUGGCAGAACCACUGAGCCAAAUCCCCAGCCCAUCAGGGCUUCUUAAAACAGCAGUAAGAACUAAUAAUAGCUGGAGUUCUCAGUGUGUGUGAAACAAUGGAUUUUCUCAUUUAAUAAUCACGAUUCAAUGAAGCUGGCAUCACUUGCUUCUGUCUUACAAACAGUAGCUUAUAGUCAGAGCCGUAGUUCUUCAGAAUACUGACAACCCACUGACUCGCGAAAAGUUUUGCACGUGGGCAUUCUAUCAAGUCCCUGCGGAAGAGCAGUGCUGUGAAGUGAUUUUCUAGAAGUGAUGUGGGGAUGAGACAGGCUGUUGCCAAGGGCUCUUGCCUAGGCAGGGGCUGGCUCUUCUCUGGCUUCGUUUCUCACAUCUCUGGAGGCUCCCGGUGUGGCUGCAAGGCCACUGGCUGAAAGCGCCAUCUGCAAGAUUUCAGGUCCAACCGCGCAGGUACCUGUGGCUCUCCGCGCCCUUGCUGGUGGAAGGAUUCGUGUUCUUCAGAAGGAAGCGAGGUGAAGACCGAGGCCACGCUGCUGUUCUUGCUAAAUCUUAAGACCUUAACUUUCAGAAGCAUUUCAGAAAUGUUUCCUAAACAUUUACAAGAAACAAGAGGUAUUUUGAUAGGCUUAUAAACCUCAUUCGGUUUUCACAAAUACUGGUUACUGGUUUACUACACCAGUAGGAAUUUCAUGUGCUAUAAAGUCAAAGGCCAAAAUAGUUCAGGACAGCUACGGCUCUAAUGAAGACUUCGGAGUGCGGGGAACACACUGCGCCAUUUAUGGUGUUCUUUAGACACAGCUGAGCCGCUCCAGUUUCAUUUUUUAAGAGAGGAGCUCAAUAUGGAAAACGUAGAGAAGCCUGGAUUCAUUACCGACGACUGCAGGCGCGCAGGGGAGGCGAUGACCAAGCGCGAGUGCCAUGGUCUCCAGAGCGAGGCCACGCUCCGCUCGCUACUGACGUGGCAGCCGUCUCUGCUCAUGCUCUUGAUGCGCUCUGUCCUGUGGCAUGCAAAGCACGCACAUGCACGUAUACACAUUCAUGCCAGUGAGAGCCUGGUAGCGUAUUCUCUUUUGUACCAGUCUUUCCAUACAUGUUUUCGCUUGUGUACUCGUAUUUCUGCUUUUCCUCUUUUCCUCCUCUUCCUCUCCUCGGCCUUCUCCCUCCUCUCCCCUUCUUCAUGGAACGCUCCCUAUAGGCAUCUUCCCCACAGUUCCCUUGGACUUCAUGUUCCCCCUAACCCAGGAGGAACACGCCCAGAAGACAAUGAAGCUGGUUUAGGUGGCCUUCUGUACUAAUCUGUGCAAUUAAAAGCCACAAGGAGACAUAUUAGUGCUGCUUGAUUUUGGUUUUCCAUUGUGUACUUUUAAAGGGACUCUCAGCCGUUGGAUGUUUGUUGUGAAAAUUGUGAAAUAAGACAUUAGCAUUAAAUUCCCCCUCCUUUUUCUUCUUCCUUCUUUAUUUCUCCUCUUCCUUGUUUGCUUUUUAUAUAGCUUCCUUCCCUUUAGCUUUAUCUCCCUCUCUGGGCGCUAGAGGUAGUGGGAGAUCUUCCCCGGACUCACAAAUGUCUCCGAGCGUGAUCACAUUAGAAGUCUCCUUUGGUCCUCAGUAUUGAUCAGACAGAUUUUCCAGUGACCUUCGUAAUUAUAUAAAGCCUGUUUGUAUGGGGUUUACCAUGUUUUGGUGUAUCUCCUCCCUCGGCUCCCACUGGUGGGUGUGUAUGACCCCGAAGGGCUGUGGGGAGAGAGUAUGAGAACCUGGGUUUGAGUUUCUUCUCUGCCACUUACUAAGUCUCUGACCUUGGACAUUAAUUGGAUCUUCCUGAGCAUCUAUUUAUUUAUCUAUAUAGUGAGGAUAGUAAUAUUUAACUCAUGUAUUUGUACUGAUUAAGGGAGAUAGAUUCAGUUGACAAAAAGUUUGUUGUACAUUGUAAAGUCCUAGUCAAUAUGUAGGUUGUGAUAAUAGCAGGAGUAACAAUUCAACCGAAAAACAUCUUGUUGGAAGACAGACUUUUUCACAGGACACAGGCUGUUUUAAGUAGUAUAAUAUAGUUAGACCCCAAUUUUCUUAGCCAUCUCCUAAGUUUGGGCAAUCGAGUCUGUGUGUCUAGCAGUAGCACUGCAGUGGUGUGUUUUCACCAAGCUGUCUCCCUCUCUGAACCUCUCUUGGGGACUGUGUUGCAGACUCGACCACUCUCUUGCAGGGCUGCUCUCUAAGGGCUAUGGUCUGUUCUUGCUGCUGCUGUGUCUUUGGAGAGUCCUGUUUGCCCUUCUGUCUGGACUCCAGAAUGGUCUCCAGAGAGAACUUGAGGCAAGAGUGGGGUUGCAAGCAUCAGCAUAAACUUCCCCCGGUGUCGGGUGGUGGAGCAGCCUAGUGUGCCCCUUUGCUCUGGAGAUCUCUGUGCAGGGGCUGCAGUCUGUGCCUGGGGUGGGGAUGGGCAGAACCGAGGGUCCACUGGGUCUCUAGGUAUGUGUUCCUGCCUCAAGUCUUGGACGGCGCCGGGGCUCUCAGGAUGACACUUGAGUCAUGACUCAGCCUUGGACGAAGAGCAGUUGGCCUGCAGCUCCCUCAGCCCCCAGAGUUGCCUGCGAAGUGAAGAGUGCAGCAGCAGCCUGAAGGCUGUUUGCAGUGCUGGCUUUGAGUGGAUGGCCUGCGAACUGUUAGAGAAGACCCAAAGCCCUCCUCCCCGGGCGGAUAUCACCUUCUUCCUUUGGCUUUUAUGAAGAACCUGAUCCCGUUUGCCUAGAUGGAGCCAAACAACCUGGGCCUCAGAGAAGGCCGAGGGCCGCAGAAGUCCCACAGCAGCGCCUGGUUUUGAUGUACUGCUGAAGGGUGUGAGCACGCUUAUGGAACGAGGUCACUUUUGCCAGUUUGAGAGAAAGGUCAUGUUUUUAAUUUAACUUAAUUUCCUAUACCAAAGAGAAUUUUCAAGAGAAUAUUUGACUUUUGCACCUUUAAUGAGACCAGAUGCUCUGGGGCCUACAGCAAUGAAGAGAAAACAGAUUUUGCAGUUUACACUUCUACUUUGUGCCGCUUCUACAUGGAGCGCAUGCGCGUUCUUAAGGGGAUCUGCUUCCUGGACUCCCUGUGGUUUAGACUCCAAGCCCUGCUCUGCCUGGGAAGCCAGUCGCUGUUAUCACCACUGGGGGCGUCAGUUUGCUGCAACUCCAUCAAACAGCCCAUCACUUCCACUUCACAGCGAAGAGGACGGAGGCUCACAGAGGUUAGGAUGCUGGUCCAGAGUCCCGCUGAGUGGACUCACAGGCAGAAUUUCCAUUCAGACAGCUGGAGGCUGCAGCCUGGACCCUCUACCACCGUCCUAUGUGACCUUUCUCUCCUCCUGAAGCAGAGGACUCUUCCUUGUUCCCUUCAGCCCCACUGUGCUUUUUCCAUGGCAUUGCUCUGCCCCACUCCAAGUCCACUGUGAGUGAGAUGCUCCUUUGGGCUUUGGUAAAAUCCAGGGACACGUUAAACACCUUCAUUAGAGCUCAUUCCAUGGAAUGGUUUGACUCCUGGUCGAAUGUUGGGAUUCUCCUGUAAUUCGCAUGCUGAAGCCCUAAGCCCAGUGUGACUGUGAAUGGACUUAAGGUCCUUGUGGAGAAAGUGAAGGUUAAGGGUCAUAAGGUAGGAUCCUGGCCCAAUAGGAUCUGUGCCAUAAUAAGAAGAGACACCAUCAGGGUUUUCUCUCCAUUUUACCACAUGAGCAUACUGCAACACUGUGGCUGCCUUGAAGCCAGGAGGAAACCAAACCAACAGGACCUCGGUCUGGGCCUUUCAGGCAUCAGAACUCGGAGAAAAUCUAUGUGUGCUGUUUUAGCUACCUGGCCUAUGACUGUCUGUUAUAGUAGGCCAGAAGGCCAAGGUGAGGUCAUUCUCUGCUGAAUGCGACCCCCUGCAGGUGCAGGAGACUUUAUGGGAGGGAGUAGGAGUUUCUCACUGGCCCUGCCUCUCCGCCGUUCCGAGUGGCACUCACAGACCAAACACCUGGCAUGCAGAGGGCCCUGGAAGGGUGUGGGUCCUGCAAGCAGCUGUAGGUGCACCCAGAGCAGCCUUGCACCCCGCUGCUCCGCACAGCUCACCUGUGCUCAAGCUGGAUGGGAGCCGGCUCUCCUGCACAUCGCCCCGCGGGCCGCUGAUUCACUAGCUUCUGGCAGAGGGCUUGGCGGCCUGCUGUCUCCUUGGGCUCUCGUAAAGUGGCCUCCUCCCCUUGCUCUGACGCGGCAGUCGCCCUGCUGGCUGCUGAGGCAAAAUUUACGACAAGGAUUCCUCAGAUUAGGAGGGGUGGGAUGUGUCCCUCCGCCUGCAGUGUGCGGAACGCAGUCCACAGCACCACAGCCCCUGUGACUGCUGAGCAAGCCCCCUUGGUCACGCUUGACACUUCUGACUUGAGAAGUCACCUGAAAGUAUUUUGAUUCCCCAAGAAGUAACUUCAGUUUUUUUCGGAGCUGAGUCCGAAGUUUACUCUUUCAGGUCCUGCUUGGUCUCAUGGCUACGUCUAGGCAGGGCCUGGAAGUGCCAAGCAGAGCCGUUUCCCAAGUUGCUCUUUAGCAGACCCAAAGGCCUCCCCCACCCCGCUCCUCUCCUAAGACAGAAAUGUCCUCACCGCCCAGCCGCCCUCACUCGGUCUCACAUUUCAUCACUAGAAAGUUCUUCACGCGCGGUCAGUGUUUACUUCCCCUUUCUUUUGGACCCACUGACUGUUACUUUGCCAUCUUGCCAGUAACUCAAGAAGAAAAGCUUUGGCCCAUCUGUCACAGAGCAGCUUCUGGCGAACUUGAAGAUAGCAGUGGGUUGUCGAAACACCCCUCAAAAUGUCGCUCUUCUGUGCUGAGUAGAUGUAAACAGGGGCACAGGGCUACCGGGUCCAAGGUGUCAGGAGCUGUGUUCACGGAGACCAAGGCCUGUGUCAUGAGCUGGCCCUGUCCUGCAAGAGCGUGGCACAGCCCCUGGCCUUGGCACUCACAGGGUACUCAGAGAUGUUCUGGGCUCUCUUGUCCUGCUGGACCAACUUGGUGCUUCUUAUGGCUGGAUUCAAAGUUGUCCCCAAAAUGCUCCUUGUGUUGAGUGUGUGGUUCCUGGUGGGUUGUUGGGCAGGGCUGCGAGGGCUGUACCUUCAGUGGAUUCAUGUACUGAAGAGAUCGCGAUUUGACAGCGUUAUUUGGAUGUGAUGGAGUAGGAUUGGGGACGAUAAUUAGUCCCCAGCCCUUUCUCUCUUGCUUUCGCAUGGUUUCCCACUACAAUUCUCAACUGUUAGAGGUGAGUGGCUUUCUCCACCGGGCCCUUCCUCUAUCACAUUUCUGCCUCAGAGCAGCUGACCAUGAACUGAAACCUCCGAAACCACAAACCUUUAAACUGGGUGUGUCAGGUAUUUUGUCACAGCAGUGGAAAAUCUGAUUAGGAGAACUUUUGGAACUGUUACCCCCGAAGGCAUGCCAUCAAGCAUAAUGGAUUAGGUGAAAAAGAUCACCUUUUCUCUGCCUCUGACAGGGGUUAAAGGAGAGCACUGUCUAUCUUUGUGAUGCAUCUAGCAUAAAAGGCACCUUUUUGGAUUAUAGUUACCCGUUCAUACAUUUAUUUUCCUUAUUAGACUCUGAGUUCCUGUGUAGGAGAUGCUACACGUUAUUCUUCAUGCUUUUUCAGAGACAGCAGAGCAUGUCAUUCGGUGGCUGUAAAAUGAGCAGUGUCUUUUGUGUUCAUGUUUAUUUGAUGUUCUUGGGUGGAGAUGCGGUGUGGGGAAAAUGUGGCACCUGCUCUCAUGAAGACCCCGGUACAGACUUCCGGAGAUGUGCUCAGUAGCUGGAGGAUUUUGAAAAGCUGGUUUGGGGGAGGCAGUACACUUAAGAAAGGACACUUACCACCUCCCAGGUUCUUCUGUGCCCCAGAAGAAGAGUGUGGCCCUAUGGCAAGACCUAUAAGAAUGUGUACCUAUUUCUGGAAAGGUUAGAUUUGUAGGGGUCAUUGGAGGCACUGAGAGCCCAGUGUUUUGCUGGACCUAGCUUCCAGGGAGGCCCAGUAUUCCUGAAGCACAGCCAUCAAGUUUUUGAGCACAUGAAGAUCUGUGGGUGGACUUUUUGAAGAUCACAAAGCCUUUGCUGGGUCAACUGCUCAGAGAUACAAAUGUAAGGGACCUACUUGAGAAAACCAGGCAUGAGGGAAACAUUUGAGUUAAGCAAUGAGAGAGAGGGGAAAAGAAAAGAAUAAGGAGCGUGACACUUUCCAGAAGAGGGAGGGAGGGAGGGAGGGAGAGUGAACUCUUGAGCAGGAGGGUUUCAGCUCUGCUCUCGUGUGCCUUUCAGGGGGCUGACAAGGGCGUGGAUCCCGAAAGCAUCCUCCCGCUCAUCAGGGUCAGCAAGCCCUCCCCUGCCGCAGUCUCUGUGGUCCCUUCCUGUGCCCAGAGAGUGGCAGAGCUGGGCUUUGGCUUCUGUUCUUCUGACCCUUUGUCCUUUGCUUUGCCGCAGAAACACACAUAUCCUUCUCUUGUUUUCCUUGGUUACCUGGCAUACGCGCUGCGCUUUUUAUGUGGCUCUGGUCAGACAAUCCUGGUCACGGGGCUGAGGGAAGGCCACCAGACUUCAGCUCCAUUUAAGACAACAAAGCAAAGCAACCUCAAUUUUUGGUUCACCACUCCUCCGCACCUCUUCCCUGAUUUUUUCCAGAAUACCUCUAACUCAUUUUUGUGGUAUUUUAUAAACUCAGCUUGAGGCUGAAUUCAUAAAAAUAUUUAGAAGCUACCUUACUUUUAUAAUUAAAGAUGAAAUGACUCAUCCAACCUCUUUCUCGCUCUACAAAUAGUCUGGCAGUAAAACAAAUCUCUGCUAUUAAGUGGUAUUUAUUUAAUUAUGAUUUGCUGUAGAGCCGUUUAAGAGCAGGUCAUUAGGUUAAGACCAUUGUGCGGGUGCUGGGAGCAGCGCUGGCUUACAUUCGCCUGUGCUUUCCUUGCUGCUGAGCAAAUGCAGCCGUGUUUAUAUUACACGCAUUCUCCAGUGUUUUCUGUUCCUCCAGAAAGAAAAGGAUGCAACGCAGACGAAUGGCCCCAUUUCCUGAGAGGGUCAGGCCAGGCUGGACGAUGGCUGAGACUCCCCUCCCGUUAACUGUCUCGUGUCCCGUCUUCUCCACUCUUCCUCACUGCACAUCAAUGCUGUACAAGCAGCCAGCUGUUUCUGAAGGUCUCGGGCCAAGUCUUUGCGGGCUGGGUGGAGCCUCUGGGGGGCCGAACCCAGGGCCCCUCAGGACAGCACCUGAGCCUUGGGGCUUUCCAAACGGCAGGAGUCUGGAAAUGUGUGCAAAACCCUUUCGAGACGUCGGAGACAGCAGAUUACAUUCAGCGAGCACCAAUGUCAAGGGCAGGACGAGGCUCACCACGGAAGUCCCCCUGGAGCCUCGCUCGCAGACCCCGGUCCCUCAUCUCCCGCUCACUUGGAGCCCUCGGCCCCACUCUCUGGCACACGUGAGAAGCAUUACCGAGUGAGCAAGACAGAUGCUCACUGGCCCAGCAGGGCACCUCGGUGGCAGGCAGCCGUAUCUAGAGGCACAUGAGGCUGCGUGUGCUUGUUGUUUAUUUAUUCUCCUCCUGUUUGGAGACUUUCCCUGAUUAAUUACUCUCUAGUCCUCUAGGCUGUUAACUAAUGUCUCAUCUGAUUAACCUGCAGCUUGCCCCGGGUCCCAGAGGGUGGGCUGGCCGUCCCGCCUGGGAACGAAGGAGGUCACUGGCCAGGGGGCCCUGGGAUGCCAGUUUGGGGCUGGUUUAUUUGCUCUGAGUUUUGUUUGCUAUUCCUGCCUCAGCGACUGGAGACAGUUGGCCCCCAUUUCCAUCCUCUCUAAUAGGCCUGCUGAAACGGCAGUGAGCGCAAGAUUUAAGAAAUGUUUUCUUUGAAAACUUCUGGUCCGACAGACACUUUGAGUUCAUGUUUCACCCUGUUUCCAUUGCACACCGUUCCCUGGGACUCUGAGGAGAAAUAUUGUUAAGUGAGUCUUACAGGAGGACGGCUGCUCUGCGGUUGGGGGGGUAGUGGGGGGCGAUGCACUGGAGGUUUUGGGGGAGGCUGGGCGGAGGCAGCCCUCAUCUUCAGAAUCUAGAGACCAUGCCAACGUUAACACAUCCGAGGAGGGAUUCGGUAUCAAAGUCUCUAAUAUUUGGCUCUGUAAACACGAUACCGGUUGCAAAAACAAAGCUAAGGAGCUCCUGCUGAUUACUUCAAUAAAAGCUGUUUAAUUAUGAACGUUUGGGAAAUGAAGUUACCAACAGGACCAGGAGUGCUCCGGCGUCCCAGCGUUCCUGCCCCAGCAUCCCGCUGCGAAGCCAGAUUGUCCACUCAGCUGAAAAGUUUGACAUUGAGCAGGGCGCGCCCUCGGGCCCGCAGGGGACCAGGCAUUGCCAGUAACACUGCUCCCACCGCAGCAGUGGCCGGGAACGGACUCGUGAUGGAGCCGUCAAGCCCGUCAGCACGUCGCAGGCCAGGCCGGCCCAGGGGUCCCUGGGGCAGUGGUCAGAGCUCCCGGGAGACCUGCCCUUGAGAAACAGUUGCUGGUCUUAGGUAGCUCACUGACCUCCCCCCGAGCCAGGGCUGGAUUUGGAGCAGGGAGCCAGUGAUCUGCUGUAACAGGAAGGCUUGGGCGUUUGCAAAUAGGUUUUUUAAAUACAUUUUUAGAAAACAUGAUCUUAUGAAUGCUUCUGCACAUUUCUGCUCUUUCUUGUGCUUUACAGCUAGUUAUUUUAUAUCAAAUGGAAUAAGUAGAAUUAUCCAUAAUAAAAUUUUAAUAAAAAUAUUAGGGUUGAAGCUAUGUAUGCACAGAACAUAUUGUCAAGGAGGGAGGGUUUAAUGCUUAAGAAAAAUAUAUGGGUGUUUUCCCUCUAACAACCAAAGUUCUCAUCUUUUCAUUAUUUAGUUGAAGUCUUUGAACUUACCCAUAUUCAACAACAGGUGAGUACAAACGAAUCGAUUCUUAUCAGCUUUUGGUCAGCUCUGAUGAUUACCUGGGGCAACCCAUUUGCCAAAAGAUCCCUGACCACUAGCUACGUGUGGACGCACAGCUGUAGCCACCUCGUUUCUCGUUUCCAACGAGGGCAGUUGUGAUGGCUGCAGAGUCAUGAUGAGGACGAGGCUAAUAGACAGGACGCAUGUGGAAACAGCGGGAAAUCCUGACGCCUCAGGCCAGCUGUGUGUUUAACGUUUCUGGUCGUCAGUUGCUCUUACGAAGUUGUCCUCAGUGCUGCCCAUAGCUGCUUCACUAUUUUAUGCCGGAUGGUUUAAGUGGGGACUUGAGGACCCAAAUCAAAGGAGGAAGCAACGGAGUUGAGACAACUUCCUGUCCCUGGAGGUCUUGUGUAAAGUAGAAGAGGGCUGUGAACUUUGGAUCCAGAUCCAAAGCUAUGGGUCCCUAGGGCCGGGGAUUUAGCUCAGCGGUUCGGUGGCCUGCCUUGCAAGCGCAGGGACCCGAGUUCAAUCCCCGGUACCAAAAAAACAAAACAAAAAAAACCAAUAAAAUCAAAGCUGUGGAUCCUUGGACAGUGUCACUUUGCAAUUCUGAUUUAGUUUUAUCUCCUACGAGUUAGGAAUCAUAAUACUUGUGCUCAAGUUUUGUGAAGUUUGAAUUUUACAGGUUAGGCACUGGGAAGGUUCCCUUGAGCACUUGAUGUUGUAAAUUCUUCCUUUCUCAGGAGAGUCUCCCUCUGGUGGAACGGGAGUCGUGUUCUGAACUUCGGGGUUACUGGUGUUGGAACUAUCGUAGGGUAGCACACUGUGGCUGUGUGCUGGGAUCUGUGCUGUGAAGACCUCUGUGCUCUUGUGAUGACCAAGUACACUUUUGAUGUUGCUUUCUGUGUUUUUCAGUGGUAAUAUUAUGUGAUAAGGGAGUUUACUCUGAGAAAUCGGCACACACAUUUAAUGUGUCUUAA